rnacentral:rRNA from 1 species
GGCUUAGAGUUUGAUCAUGGCUCAGGAUGAACGCUAGCGACAGGCUUAACACAUGCAAGUCGAGGGGCAGCACAGGUAGCAAUACCGGGUGGCGACCGGCGCACGGGUGAGUAACGCGUAUGCAACUUACCUAUCAGAGGGGGAUAACCCGGCGAAAGUCGGACUAAUACCGCAUGAAGCAGGGGCCCCGCAUGGGGAUAUUUGCUAAAGAUUCAUCGCUGAUAGAUAGGCAUGCGUUCCAUUAGGCAGUUGGCGGGGUAACGGCCCACCAAACCGACGAUGGAUAGGGGUUCUGAGAGGAAGGUCCCCCACAUUGGUACUGAGACACGGACCAAACUCCUACGGGAGGCAGCAGUGAGGAAUAUUGGUCAAUGGGCGUAAGCCUGAACCAGCCAAGUCGCGUGAGGGAUGAAGGUUCUAUGGAUCGUAAACCUCUUUUAUAAGGGAAUAAAGUGUGGGACGUGUCCUAUUUUGUAUGUACCUUAUGAAUAAGGAUCGGCUAACUCCGUGCCAGCAGCCGCGGUAAUACGGAGGAUCCGAGCGUUAUCCGGAUUUAUUGGGUUUAAAGGGUGCGUAGGCGGCCUUUUAAGUCAGCGGUGAAAGUCUGUGGCUCAACCAUAGAAUUGCCGUUGAAACUGGGGGGCUUGAGUAUGUUUGAGGCAGGCGGAAUGCGUGGUGUAGCGGUGAAAUGCUUAGAUAUCACGCAGAACCCCGAUUGCGAAGGCAGCCUGCCAAGCCAUGACUGACGCUGAUGCACGAAAGCGUGGGGAUCAAACAGGAUUAGAUACCCUGGUAGCCCACGCAGUAAACGAUGAUCACUAGCUGUUUGCGAUACAGUGUAAGCGGCACAGCGAAAGCGUUAAGUGAUCCA